UUGGCAUUUUGCUCCGAGCCAGCAGGGGGCAGUUUGCGUUGAAAUAAACAGAACGGUGGCAACUGCAGCAGCAGAGUAAUAACGCUAUUCCACGUUGAUUGCAUGAGGUGAGUAAAAGUGGUUGUGUAAAUAUCUUAUAAUAUUAAAUGCGAUGUUCGAUCAUUUAUUUAUCCAUGGUACGUUCAAUUUGAAUAAUUAUUGUUAAUAAUUGUUAUAAAUUGCUAAUUUUAUUGUUCUUUGUGGAUUUUAACAGUACACUCUGUACAUGGCUGUAGUUCUUCGGUUUGAUUUUACAGAGGUAUGCCAUUACAUUUGUCAAGUUAUUUGAACAGACAUGCAUGAUUAUAUUGUGUUAUUGUGUGUAUAUUAUUAUUAUUAUUAUUAUUCAGGAUGACAUGAUAAGGAGGUGGUGGUUUUCUGUUCUCCUGGACAGCUUCACUCCGCAAAUAGCUCAACCACUGAGGGGAGGAACUUCACCAUUCAAAAGACAACGUCUUCAGGCAGAGUCCAGCAAAGCAGCUUCCCCUGGAAAUCCUCAGUGAAGUUAUUUUGUCAGCGGGUGACUGCAUAUUUGACACUUUCUCUGGUUUGCAGAUGGUUUAGGGAUGUGUUCACUCAAGAAGUUUUCCGCAAAGCGGCACACUUUGCCUGGCUAGACAUUGUGGCCAACUGGAAGAAUUGUCCUCCUGUCUACCGGAACGAGUUCAGACGGAUGUACAGCAUCAGGGAAUGCUUGCAGUGCAGAGCCCUUUUCAAGUUUAACCCACCAGGGUACAGGGAAGAGGCGUAAUCCAAAACU